AGGGAAAGAGGGGGGUAGGCCUAACACAUGCAAGUCGAACGGCAGCACAGUAAGAGCUUGCUCUUACGGGUGGCGAGUGGCGGACGGGUGAGGAAUACAUCGGAAUCUACUUUUUCGUGGGGGAUAACGUAGGGAAACUUACGCUAAUACCGCAUACGACCUACGGGUGAAAGCAGGGGAUCUUCGGACCUUGCGCGAUUGAAUGAGCCGAUGUCGGAUUAGCUAGUUGGCGGGGUAAAGGCCCACCAAGGCGACGAUCCGUAGCUGGUCUGAGAGGAUGAUCAGCCACACUGGAACUGAGACACGGUCCAGACUCCUACGGGAGGCAGCAGUGGGGAAUAUUGGACAAUGGGCGCAAGCCUGAUCCAGCCAUACCGCGUGGGUGAAGAAGGCCUUCGGGUUGUAAAGCCCUUUUGUUGGGAAAGAAAAGCAGCAGGUUAAUACCCCGCUGUUCUGACGGUACCCAAAGAAUAAGCACCGGCUAACUUCGU
rnacentral:rRNA from 1 species